rnacentral:lncRNA from 1 species
UCCCCUGCCAUGGGCUCCAAGGUUAUGCAUAUUCAUAUGACUUCUGCUCCCACGGCUUGUCCCCAUAAAUCAAUCCCACACCGUUUGUGAGUCAUGGCUAUUCUCAGAACAUGUUGCCAUCUCUCCAGCUUUGGGGACGUGACCAGCCUUCGACGUUUGACGCCCAUUCUGCAGAGUGGGAACAUCCCAGCACUGCCAGAACGUACAAAAAUCGAACACACGUGCUCCUCCGGCAGCCUAGAAACCACUAGAGUAACGAACCUUCCUCCCCCUCAACGGAAUCUGUCUUAAUUACUUCUUGGGUUAUUUUUACGUUGUGAGCUACAAAGUUAAUUGGAGGCUCUGCUUUUUGCUGUGAGCUCUGGCUGCCCAAACUGCUAUUUAGAGUUCUGUUCGACAUCUGCUUACGGAGGGACCCUGGACCAUCUUUUCACUAUCCUGGGCAUCAGUUUUAUCACCUGUAUAAUGGGAGCGUUGGACGACGUGGUUCCCAAGAAUUUGGACUAUUCAAUUUCUAAGAGUCCCUCCAGUUCUCAAAUUCUGUGGUUCUGUGGCCGGAGUCCUAAGCAGAAUGCUUAGGAAUCAGGAAGCUUCCAGGAUAGCUAGGAAGACACAGUGCUUAUAUCUAUGUGUAAAAGAACAAGAGGUUCAGUAUCAGAGGUCCUGGCUUUGAAUCCUGCCUCUGAAGUUUAUUGGCUGUGUGUCCUUUGGUGAGUCACUUAUCCUCUGUGGGCCUCAGUUUCCUCAUCUGUAAAAUGACAAUAUUGGAUUAGAUGGCCUCUUAAAUCCCUUCCAAAUCUAGAUCUAUCCUCCUAUCAUUGAAAAGGUGGAAGUGAAUGGAAGAAACUUUAGCAAGCGAAAUACCAGUAGAAGAGAAUGGGGUCUAGUGAAGGUAAGAGCUUUGGGAGGAUGAGCCCUAUUGGUUGGGACAAGGAGAUUGCCUAAUGCAGACUGUAUGAACACCUCUCAGAAGAUGGAAAGAUCAGGACUAUCAGGGACAUGAAGACCAUUCUCCAUUUUCCAAGUAGGGAAACUGAGUCCCAGCCCAGAUCACAUAGGUAGCAAGAGGCAGGGCUGGAAUUUGAGCAUGGGUCUUCUGAACUGAGGAUCUGGGUUCUUUUCACUUUGCCACAUGCUCUCUUCAGAAAGAUUCGUGGAAUGAGAAGUCAAUAAAAGCAAAAUGAUUUGACCGUUUCCUUCUUCC